rnacentral:rRNA from 1 species
CGCGCAGGCGGCUCCAUUUGUCAGGCGUGAAAGCCCCGGGCUUAACCUGGGAACUGCGUUUGAUACGGUGGGGCUAGAGUUCGGGAGAGGAGAGUGGAAUUCCCAGUGUAGAGGUGAAAUUCGUAGAUAUUGGGAAGAACACCGGUGGCGAAGGCGGCUCUCUGGACCGAGACUGACGCUGAGGCGCGAAAGCGUGGGGAGCAAACAGGAUUAGAUACCCUGGUAGUCCACGCUGUAAACGAUGUGUGCUAGACGUUGGGGAGCCUAGCUCUUCGGUGUCGCAGCUAACGCGGUAAGCACACCGCCUGGGGAGUACGGCCGCAAGGUUAAA